ACUACUUUAUUAGGUAACAAUUCCUCCAUUCACUGCUACUUGUGGUACAUGUAAAGGAUUUGGCCAAAUCAUUAAGGACAAUUGUGGGGCAUGCGGAGGAUCAGGGGUGGUUGAAGGUGUCAAAGAUGUUAAAGUAACAAUACCGGCAGGAGUGGAUUCUGGUGAUGUUAUUCGCGUACCAAAUGCUGGUAAUACUGGUGGACGGGGAAUGCAUCCAGGCAAUCUAAUUAUAAAGCU